AAGUCGUAACAAGGUUUCCGUAGGUGAACCUGCGGAAGGAUCAUUACAGAGAAUAGGGUCCUCCGGGGCCCGACCCUCCCAUCCCGUGUAUACUGUCCCGGUUGCUUCGGCGGGCCUACCGCCCGUCAGAGGCCCUACCUCAUCCGCGUUUUGGUGUCGUCUGAGUGGUUAUACAAUAUCCAAAA
rnacentral:misc_RNA from 1 species